AAUAUUAUCAUUUUAAGUAACCUUCUGCUUUACAGGGCAACCAUCUCCCCUGACAAAGCAUCAAACGGCAGAGGAUGAGCCUUUUUUGCCUUACUGGAGUGCAAUAUUUUAAGAAACGGACACAGAGCUUUCCUCUUCUGCUAACUCUUCAGAAGAAUCGGUGCCGCUGUAUGGGACAAGUGCGCCUUUAGUUAAGCUCUGCAAUAAGCAACUUCAAACUGGAUGCCCUUAACAUGCUGGUUCAAACGUAUCAAAAACGGAAUAUUACUAAGAGCUGAAAAUAAUCCGUACUAUCAAUUUGACCGCUUUAUGGAAAAUGGAACGAGAAGUUAUAAACCAUAUACAAUGUAUAAGGAAACUAUGUUGCUAGUAAAAAUUUUUAUUAUAAGUCAAAGAAAUAAUUUCAAUAAUACAUUGAUAACUCAGAACUAAUGUGUGACGAUUCAUAUACAUACUUAUGUACAUCUAAUUAAAAAAGUAAUAAACAAAAGUUAUGAAAAACGA